rnacentral:rRNA from 1 species
CACGUAGGGUGCGAGCGUUGUCCGGAAUUAUUGGGCGUAAAGAGCUCGUAGGCGGUGUGUCGCGUCGGCCGUGAAAACCUGCAGCUUAACUGUGGGCUUGCGGUCGAUACGGGCAUCACUGGAGUUCGGCAGGGGAGACUGGAAUUCCUGGUGUAGCGGUGAAAUGCGCAGAUAUCAGGAGGAACACCGGUGGCGAAGGCAGGUCUCUGGGCCACUACUGACGCUGAGAAGCGAAAGCAUGGGGAGCGAACAGG